rnacentral:tRNA from 1 species
UGCGGUGUCGCCAAGUGGUAAGGCAGCGGACUUUGAAUCCGCCACUCCCUGGUUCGAAUCCAGGCACCGCAG